AGCAGCCGCGGUAAUUCCAGCUCCAAUAGCGUAUAUUAAAGUUGUUGCAGUUAAAAAGCUCGUAGUUGAAUUUCGGGAUUGGCGCAUCGGUCGUGCCUCACGGGGUAUGAACUGGUGCAGUCAAUUUCUCACCUUCUGGAGAACCGCGAUGUCCUUAAUUGGAUGCCGCGGGGAACCAGGACCUUUACUUUGAAAAAAUUAGAGUGUUUAAAGCAGGCAUUUUUGCUUGAAUACAUUAGCAUGGAAUAAUAAAAUAGGACGGCAUGGUUCUAUUUUGUUGGUUUCUAGGACCACCGUAAUGAUUAAUAGGGAUAGUUGGGGGCAUUAGUAUUCAAUUGUCAGAGGUGAAAUUCUUGGAUUAUUGGAAGACUAACUACUGCGAAAGCAUUUGCCAAGGAUGUUUUCACUAAUCAAGAACGAAAGUUAGGGGAUCGAAGACGAUCAGAUACCGUCGUAGUCUUAACCAUAAACUAUGCCGACUAGGAAUCAGACGAUGUUAAUUUUUUCAAUGA
rnacentral:rRNA from 1 species